rnacentral:rRNA from 1 species
UGGGGAAUAUUGGACAAUGGGCGCAAGCCUGAUCCAGCCAUGCCGCGUGAGUGAUGAAGGCCUUAGGGUUGUAAGGCUCUUUCGGCGGGGACGAUAAUGACGGUACCCGCAGAAGAAGCCCCGGCUAACUUCGUGCCAGCAGCCGCGGUAAUACGAAGGGGGCUAGCGUUGUUCGGAAUCACUGGGCGUAAAGGGCGCGUAGGCGGCCAUAUAAGUCGGGGGUGAAAGCCUGUGGCUCAACCACAGAAUUGCCUUCGAUACUGUAUGGCUCGAGACCGGAAGAGGUAAGUGGAACUGCGAGUGUAGAGGUGAAAUUCGUAGAUAUUCGCAAGAACACCAGUGGCGAAGGCGGCUUACUGGUCCGGUUCUGACGCUGAGGCGCGAAAGCGUGGGGAGCAAACAGGAUUAGAUACCCUGGUAGUCCACGCCCUAAACGAUGGGUACUAGACGUCGGGAAGCUUGUCUUCUUGGUGUCGCAGCUAACGCAAUAA